rnacentral:rRNA from 1 species
CCCUUAGAUGUUCUGGGCAGCACGCGCGCUACAAUGGUCUUCGCAAACGGAUGCAUUCUCGAAGGAGAAUGCCAAUCUUGGAAUCUAUGCCUUGGUCGGGACAGUUGCUUGCAAUUUUUCGACUCGAACCAGGAAUUCCUUGUAAUCGUGAUUCAUCACAUCACGAUGAAUACGUCCCUGCCCUUUGUACACACCGCCCGUCGCUCCUACCGAUCGAAGAGUUAGGUGAAUUGUUUUGAUCGAUAAGAUUUGACUAUGGGCAACUCUCGUUGUGAAAUUCUGUGAAUCUGACUGUUUAGAGGAAGGAAAAGUCGUAACA